rnacentral:rRNA from 1 species
GAUCAUGGCUCAGAUUGAACGCUGGCGGCAGGCCUAACACAUGCAAGUCGAACGGUAACAGGGAUCAGCUUGCUGAUUCGCUGACGAGUGGCGGACGGGUGAGUAAUGUCUGGGAAACUGCCUGAUGGAGGGGGAUAACUACUGGAAACGGUAGCUAAUACCGCAUAACGUCGCAAGACCAAAGAGGGGGACCUUCGGGCCUCGUUGACCAUCGGAGUGUGCCCAGAGUGGGAUUAGCUAG